GUUUUGUGUAGUUACACAAGCGGGAGGUUUGUUUAUCGGCCCGUUAUGAUGAUUGUGCUCCCAUCUCUCACGUGGCUGGCCAAGCGUCUGAUUCCAAGGUCGUUGCACAGCUGCUUGACUUGGAGUAUUACUUGGUAGAGACGCACCGCUGUGAUCUAUUGUAAUUCAGGAAAAGUGCUGGGAAGCAGUGCAGGCUUAAAAUAGUGGCU
rnacentral:lncRNA from 1 species